CUUUCCUCUGUUCCCGCCCGGCUCCUGCUGCCCCCAUCCGCAGCUCUCGAGACGCCCUGCGGAAACCCGAGGGUGAGGCCGCGCAGAUCCCUGCUCCUACUUGGAUUUAGCAAGGGCCUCAGAGCUUAGCAUUGUAUUCGCGAUUUACGGCUGACAAGCGCUUUCACCAGGCAAGAGUGAAAAGGUUUCAAAAGGACUAUUGGGGACUUCCCUCGCCAUUAAUCUAGACGAAACACCGCCGGCCCUAGGCCGAUUGGCGUCAUCCUGCCUCUGUAAAGCACAUCUUUCCGUGGUGUCGGCUUUGCAUAAGGCGGCAGCAUUGGCUAGUUUGUGAGAGGAGAAUAUAACUAGACUGAGAAGAUAGACUCAGCUGUGAAAGUGGAUUUCUCCCUCCACAACCUAGGACUACUUUCAGUAGCUCUGAAAUACACAUGAGAAUCUUAGCCUUCUAGAUGCCAAAAGAGAAAUAAUCAGUAAGGGUUUGCAAGAUGUGUGGCUUUUCGCUGGAGGAAGUCAUAACUGACCAGAUUGGAUAUGAAUUCGUGACUGGACUCCUACUUAUAAUUUUCUUGCGUUUUCUUCUAAUCUCUGGCUGAUCUCCUAUUUUCCACAAAGACUGUUUCAAGCUUUCCAUGUUGUUAAAGAUGCCAGUCCCAGUCCAUACUAAUAGAUAAAUUCAUCCAGUU
rnacentral:lncRNA from 1 species